rnacentral:rRNA from 3 species
UGGGGAAUAUUGCGCAAUGGGGGGAACCCUGACGCAGCAACGCCGCGUGGAGGAAGAAGGUCUUCGGAUUGUAAACUCCUGUCUUCUGGGACGAUAAUGACGGUACCAGAGGAGGAAGCCACGGCUAACUACGUGCCAGCAGCCGCGGUAAUACGUAGGUGGCGAGCGUUGUCCGGAAUUACUGGGCGUAAAGAGCGCGUAGGCGGUUUUUUAAGUCAGAUGUGAAAAUCCAGGGCUUAACUCUGGGCGUGCAUUUGAAACUGGGGAACUAGAGUGCAGGAGAGGUAAGUGGAAUUCCUAGUGUAGCGGUGAAAUGCGUAGAUAUUAGGAGGAACACCAGUGGCGAAGGCGACUUACUGGACUGUAACUGACGCUGAGGCGCGAAAGCGUGGGUAGCGAACAGG